AAUUUGGCCUUUAAUUAAGGUCUUGUAUGAAUGGAAUUACGGAGUUGAACUGUCUCUAGUGUUAGAUAUUUGUAAGUUAAUUAUAAGGUGAAAAUUCCUUAAUAUAAUAUUUUAGACGAGAAGACCCUUAGAGUUUUUAUAAAUGAGUUUAUAUAUAAUUUUUAACUCUUGAUUUUUGUUGGGGCGACAAGGAAUGCACAUAUAGUACCCUUCUUAAUUAUCUAUUUUUAUAUGACGAUAUUAUAAUAUGAAUGAAUAAACUACCUAAGGGAUAACAGCAUAAUUUUAUAUAAGAUUG
rnacentral:rRNA from 1 species